GCCAGUGUGGCGUAGUGGUUUGAGAGUUGGGACUAUGACUCUGGAGACCUGGGUUUGAUUCCCAGCUCUUAGCCA